rnacentral:rRNA from 1 species
CCUACGGGUGGCAGCAGUGAGGAAUAUUGGUCAAUGGACGAAAGUCUGAACCAGCCAAGUAGCGUGCAGGAUGACGGCCCUACGGGUUGUAAACUGCUUUUAUACGGGAAUAACGCGUCUUACGUGUAGGGCUUUGCAUGUACCGUAUGAAUAAGGACCGGCUAACUCCGUGCCAGCAGCCGCGGUAAUACGGAGGAUUCAAGCGUUAUCCGGAUUUAUUGGGUUUAAAGGGUGCGUAGGCGGUUGGAUAAGUUAGAGGUGAAAGCUCGAGGCUCAACUUCGGAAUUGCCUCUGAUACUGUUCGGCUAGAGAGUAGUAGCGGUAGGCGGAAUGUAUGGUGUAGCGGUGAAAUGCUUAGAGAUCAUACAGAACACCGAUUGCGAAGGCAGUUUAC